UGUAGAUAAAACAAAUACACAAUUCCUGAUGCAUACCCGUUUUGUCGGUUUCAUUUUUUGUUAGUCCAAUCUCUCACUUAUGCUUUGUUUAUUCUGUUUGAUCUUAAUGUGUUUUUCCUGAGUUAGAUAUGAAGAACCAAUAGGUUUAGAGAAUUUAAAGUUUGAUAACAUCUAGGUCCUCAAUUAGGGAUAAAUGUAAACCUUGAACUAAACAUCUUGUUAAGCUGAAGGUAUAGUUUUAUUUAAGUGCUCUAUGUCACAUUAUCUUUAGUGGUAAAGAAUGUUUUUUUUUCACUGCAUGUCGUCAAACAACUAUCCUGAUUAUUGGGAGGAGUGACUUUGGUCUAAAAGAGUGGAAUGCGUUCAUCCGACCAAGGAGUAUUGGCAGUCCCACUACCGAGCAUUCUUGGGUGUCUGAUAGUAGUGAUAAUUAAGAAUGGUUCCAGGGUUGAAAUGUGUCGCUAGCAGGCACAGCUCCAGGCUUGCACAAUCCACCAGACCUACCCCAAUAGUGGAGCCAUCUAACUCUCUUGGUGAUGAUUAUAUAGAAUUUCUUAGUCAGCCCACUUCUACAGCUCUAAAUGAGCCACCUAGUCAGCCCACUUCUACAGCUCCAAAUGAGCCACUUAGUCGGCCUACUUUUUUAGCUCCAAGUCGUUCAAAUAUUCAGCCCGACGAUACAGCUCCGAAUGACCCAAGUGCACAAGAUUCUACAGUAAGAGGAAGGGUCAUGGUCCUACUUGUGGUAUUGGGCUGAGCAAAAUGAAAAAGACACUUGGUAAGAAGCUAACAAUUACGAUUGAUGUAGACCAAGGGAGACCUACUGAUCGAGUGCAAUCAGCUAAAUUCUCUAGUGAAGUUGGUUUUCUUGCUCGUGAAUGUAUGCAUGUGCCAAAAAGGUUUAAGGAUUUAAAUGAAGAUUAUUUAAAUCCUGCAUUUGAUAGGUUGCAGGUAAGACCUUUCUUAUGCAUUUUCAUAAAAAGUUAUAGAAUUUUCUUAUGAAUGUGAAGACAUUGAAGUAUUUUUAGGUUGCCAUGUAGGAGCCAAUGGCUUUACAAGUUGUUCAUUUCUUAUAGAUGAAGGUUACUGCAUGCACAUAGAAUGAUAGUGCUUUUAACUACAA